rnacentral:rRNA from 1 species
AGACGGCUUUCAGAAAGGCCAUGCAUGCCUAAGCCUAAGCUCGUAAUAUGGUUAAGCCGCGAAUGGCUCAUUACAACAGCCUUAGUUUAUUGGAUCUAAAGUCCUACAUGGAUAACUGUGGUAAUUCUAGAGCUAAUACACGCACAGAUCUGCAACUUUAUGGGAGGGAGCAUUUAUUAGAACAAAACCAAUCGGCUUCGGCCGUCUUUGGUGAAUCUGAAUAACUACGCUGAUCGCAUGGUCUCGUACCGGCGACAUAUCCUUCAAGUGUCUGCCUUAUCAACUGUCGAUGGUAGUUUACACGCCUACCAUGGUUGUAACGGGUAACGGAGAAUAAAGGUUCGACUCCGGAGAGGGAGCCUGAGAAACGGCUACCUCCUCCAACGAAGGAAGGAGGCGCGCAAAUUACCCACUCUCUCAACGAGGAGGUAGGGACGAAAAAUAACUAGACAGGUCUCUAUGAAGUCUGUCAUCGUAAUGGGUACAAUUUAUACCCUUUUUCGAGGAUCUAUUGGAGGGGAAGUCUGGUCCCCCCCCGCCCCCCCCCCGCCCGGGGGGCGCCCCGGGGGGGGGGGG